UUUUUUUUGUUUUUAAUUUUUUUUAGUAUUAGAGUUUUUUUUAAUGAGUUAAUUUUUCGUAUGAGGUGGUUAAAGUAUUGGAGUUUUAGUUUUAGUAUUAGUUUUUUUAAUGAAUAUUUAGGAUUGAUUUUUUUUAGGAUGGAUUGGUUGGAUUUUUUUGUAGUUUAAGGGAUUUUUAAGAGUUUUUUUUAAUAUUAUAGUUUAAAAGUAUUAAUUUUUUGGUAUUUAGUUUUUUUUAUAGUUUAAUUUUUAUAUUUAUAUAUGAUUAUUGGAAAAAUUAUAGUUUUGAUUAGAUAGAUUUUUGUUGGUAAAGUAAUGUUUUUGUUUUUUAAUAUGUUGUUUAGGUUGGUUAUAAUUUUUUUUUUAAGGAGUAAGUAUUUUUUAAUUUUAUGGUUGUAGUUAUUAUUUGUAGUGAUUUUGGAGUUUUUUAAAAUAAAGUUUGAUAUUGUUUUUAUUGUUUUUUUAUUUAUUUUUUAUGAAGUGAUGGGAUUAGAUGUUAUGAUUUUAGUUUUUUGAAUGUUGAGUUUU
rnacentral:misc_RNA from 1 species